rnacentral:rRNA from 1 species
GUCUACGGCCAUGCCACCCUGAACAAGCCCGACCCCAUCUGAUCUCAGAAGCUAAGCAGGGUUGGGCCUGGUUAGUACUUGGAUGGGAGACCAGGUGCUGUAGGUG